rnacentral:rRNA from 1 species
AAUCAACGCUGGCGGCGUGCCUCAGACAUGCAAGUCGAACGCGAAAGGCCCCUUCGGGGGCCGAGUAGAGUGGCGUCCGGGUGAGUAACACGUGGGUAAUCUACCUUCGGGUGGGGAAUAACGACCGGAAACGGUCGCUAAUACCGCAUAAUGCAGCGGCACCUAAUGGUGACAGUUGUUAAAGCGGGGGAUCGCAAGACCUCGCGCCUGAAGAGGAGCCCGCGGCGGAUUAGCUAGNGGCAGGGUAACGGCCUACCAAGGCGACGAUCCGUAGCCGGCCUGAGAGGGGCGGUCGGCCACACU